UGGGGAAUAUUGCACAAUGGGGGAAAGCCCUGAUGCAGCAACGCCGCGUGAGUGGAGAAGUAUUUCGGUAUGUAAAGCUCUAUCAGCAGGGAAGAUAAUGACGGUACCUGACUAAGAAGCUCCGGCUAAAUACGUGCCAGCAGCCGCGGUAAUACGUAUGGAGCAAGCGUUAUCCGGAUUUACUGGGUGUAAAGGGAGCGUAGACGGAUCUGCAAGUCUGGAGUGAAAGCCCGGGGCUCAACCCCGGGACUGCUUUGGGAAACUGUGGAUCUAGAGUGCCGGAGAGGUAAGCGGAAUUCCUAGUGUAGCGGUGAAAUGCGUAGAUAUUAGGAGGAACACCAGUGGCGAAGGCGGCUUACUGGACGGUAACUGACGUUGAGGCUCGAAAGCGUGGGGAGCAAACAGGAUUAGAUACCC
rnacentral:rRNA from 1 species